GGGCCCGCACAAGCGGUGGAGCAUGUGGUUUAAUUCGAUGAUACGCGAGGAACCUUACCAGGGCUUAAAUGUAGUGGGACAGGUCUAGAGAUAGACCCUUCUUCGGAGCAGAUUACAAGGUGCUGCAUGGUUGUCGUCAGCUCGUGCCGUGAGGUGUUAGGUUAAGUCCUGCAACGAGCGCAACCCCUAUCGUUAGUUGCCAGCGGGUCAUGCCGGGAACUCUAGCGAAACUGCCGGUGCAAACCGAGAGGAAGGUGGGGAUGACGUCAAAUCAUCACGGCCCUUACGUCCUGGCCACACACGUGCUACAAUGGCCGGUACAGAGAGCAGCCACUACGCGAGUAGGAGCG
rnacentral:rRNA from 1 species